UAGGGAAUCUUCGGCAAUGGACGGAAGUCUGACCGAGCAACGCCGCGUGAGUGAAGAAGGUUUUCGGAUCGUAAAGCUCUGUUGUAAGAGAAGAACGAGUGUGGGAGUGGAAAGUUCACACUGUGACGGUAUCUUACCAGAAAGGGACGGCUAACUACGUGCCAGCAGCCGCGGUAAUACGUAGGUCCCGAGCGUUGUCCGGAUUUAUUGGGCGUAAAGCGAGCGCAGGCGGUUAGAUAAGUCUGAAGUUAAAGGCUGUGGCUUAACCAUAGUACGCUUUGGAAACUGUUUAACUUGAGUGCAAGAGGGGAGAGUGGAAUUCCAUGUGUAGCGGUGAAAUGCGUAGAUAUAUGGAGGAACACCGGUGGCGAAAGCGGCUCUCUGGCUUGUAACUGACGCUGAGGCUCGAAAGCGUGGGGAGCAAACAGGAUUAGAUACCCUGGUAGUCCACGCCGUAAACGAUGAGUGCUAGGUGUUAGACCCUUUCCGGGGUUUAGUGCCGCAGCUAACGCAUUAAGCACUCCGCCUGGGGAGUACGACCGCAAGGUUG
rnacentral:rRNA from 1 species